rnacentral:lncRNA from 1 species
GAAAAUUGUCAACCACUCCUUCCUUAGGGGGUAAAAGCAACAUUCAGCACCGGGGGCAGGUCAAGGCGAGGCUGGCUCCCGUCUCCAGGCCCCAAGGAGCCACACCUGGACCAGACCCCAGGAAAGGCAAGGGCACUAGCUGGUGGGAGCCACCCCGCCAUGCUGAUGUCAGAGAAGCAAGAACUCUGGAGAAGCAGCCUCCUGGGACCAGAGGAGGGCCAGCAGCAGGCAGCCCGGAGACAGAACUCUCACCCACGCCUCUCCAAGCCUCCCGACAGAAGACAGAGGUCCCCCACAGCCAGAGACAUUUCCUGAAGACAUGGGGAACACAGAGGCAGAAACAGCCCAUCCACCCAGGAGCUGUCCCCCACACUGCCGGGAGCCGGCACCCAGAGCCGCCAGGUAAAACUGAGGCCACCUGGUUCAACAUCGCCUUUCAUAGAAGGGGAAGCAGCCACAGAAAGAAGGGCCUGGUAAGAAGUGGAACCUGGGACCCCCAAGCGGUGUCUCUCAUCCUGACUGGGGAUCCAGAGUAGGAGGGAGCCUUUGGUGGG